rnacentral:sRNA from 1 species
AACAUCUAAGGGCGGUGCUGGAACGGCUAAGAGAACAUGAGCU